GACGAACGCUGGCGGCGUGCUUAACACAUGCAAGUCGAACGGAAAGGCCCUGCUUUUGUGGGGUGCUCGAGUGGCGAACGGGUGAGUAACACGUGAGUAACCUGCCCUUGACUUUGGGAUAACUUCAGGCAACUGGGGCUAAUACCGGAUAGGAGCUCCUGCUGCAUGGUGGGGGUUGGAAAGUUUCGGCGGUUGGGGAUGGACUCGCGGCUUAUCAGCUUGUUGGUGGGGUAGUGGCUUACCAAGGCUUUGACGGGUAGCCGGCCUGAGAGGGUGACCGGCCACAUUGGGACUGAAAUGCGGCCCAGACUCCUACGGGAGGCAGCAGUGGAGAAUGUUGCACAAUGGGCUGAAGCCUAAUGUAGUAACGCCGCGUGCGGGAUGACGGCCUUCGGGUUGUAAACCACUUUCGCCUGUCACGAGGCGUGAAUGACGGUAAUGGGUAAAGAAGCACCGGCUAACUACGUG
rnacentral:rRNA from 1 species